CAAAACUCUAUCUUCUGCACUUUCCUUUAGCCUCUCUCUCUUCCUCUAUGGUUUCUUUUUUGUCCCAAAAAUUUUGUUGUCGUUGCUUUCCUUCUCCAAAUCUGUCUAUGAAUUCACCUUGAAGGUUCAGAUUCUUUGAGGUUUUGUAUUGAUUUGAAGCUUGAGAAUCCCAUACAGAGAGAGAGAUCAAGAAAAGAUCAUAGAAGAAGAAGAAAAAUCUUCCGAUCACUCUUCCUCCGACAAUCUGGCAGUCUUUGCCUUUGUGAUUGGAAUCGUGCUUCCUUCGCGAUUCCGAGCUUCAUAGUGAUUUUGAGCCUAUAAAACGAUGUGGACCAAUGUUUUCAGAAUUUCUCUUCCUAGUGAAGCUGAGCUCAAUCAUGCCUCUGAUACAAGUUCAAGAGCUGAGCAGAAUGAUGUUGCAACAUAUCUUGUGCUUUUCAUUUGUUGGACCUUGGGAUCCAUCUCAAGGUUUAUACAACCCUGAUGAAAAGAUUAAGCUUUGGCUUUUUCUUCCUGGGUGUCAUUCAUCAAUCUCUGAUACAGCUCAGGCUUCUGUCUCAAAACUUAGAGACGCACGUUACAGAGCAAGAGCGAUUCUUGAGAAUCCAACAGACAAGACAAAGGUGCAUCUCAUUUACGCCAAUGUCACAUACAAUGACAUUCUCUUAAGGGAAGAAUUGGAGAGUCUUACAGCCAAUUAUCCAGAUCAAUUCAAAAUCUACUAUGUUUUGAACCAGCCUCCUGAGACAUGGGAUGGUGGUGUUGGAUUUGUGUCAAAGGAUAUGAUCCAGGCUCAUUGCCCUGCACCUGCAUCCGAUAUUCAGCACCAAGAGAGUUAUGAGAUCUGGAAAGAAGAUUGCUCCUCCUGUCUCCAACAAACCUCGUUUCAACUUCAUUGAGGACACGUUCGUGAGUGCUCGUGGAGUUAAGACCAAGGUCUGGACGCUGGAGAGCCCUAUCCGAAAUUCGGUAUUGGGACUCAAGCUUUCCAACUCUGCAAUCGGUAGUACAUAUUGAUUAAUUUUAUGUUAAGAUUUAUUUGUUUUUUUUUUUAGAGAAAACAAAACUUUCAUAAUGCAUUUUGGAGAAUGUCGGGUGUUACAAGCAACUUAA